UACGUAGGGGGCUAGCGUUGCUCGGAAUCACUGGGCGUAAAGCGCACGUAGGCGGAUUGUUAAGUCAGGGGUGAAAUCCUGGAGCUCAACUCCAGAACUGCCUUUGAUACUGAGAAGCUUGAGUCCGGGAGAGGUGAGUGGAACUGCGAGUGUAGAGGUGAAAUUCGUAGAUAUUCGCAAGAACACCAGUGGCGAAGGCGGCUCACUGGCCCGGUACUGACGCUGAGGUGCGAAAGCGUGGGGAGCAAACAGG
rnacentral:rRNA from 1 species